GGCGCUGAAGCGUCGUGCUUAUACUCUACCGUCGGGACAGUAGUGAUAUCUUUACCACUCUGCGGGGUGUAAAAUAUCGUCAGGUCUCGACGAGUAGGUGGGCCGCGGCGGUGAGCGCAGAAGGACUGGGCGUAGGCCCGUCUGGAGCCUCCGUCGGUGCAGAUCUUGGUGGUAGUAGCAAAUACUCCAGCGAGGCCCUGGAGGACUGACGUGGAGAAGGGUUUCGUGUGAACAGCCGUUGCACACGAGUCAGUCGAUCCUAAGCCAUAGGAGAAAUCCGAUGUCAAUGUAGUGUGUCUUUAAUGAAUAUUAUUAUUAUUAUCAUGUGGUGGAAUAUAUAUUUAUAUAUCUAUAUCUCUAAUGUUUGGUUAAUGGAAUUGUGUAUUUGAACAGCAAAACAGAGAGAAACAUAUAUUAUAUAUAAAGAGACUUGUCUUAAUUAUGAAAUAUAAAGAGUAAUAUCACACUCAUUGGGCGAAAGGGAAUCCGGUUCCUAUUCCGGAACCCGGCAGCGGAACCGUACACAUGUCGGCCCCUCGUAAGAGAGUUCGUCGGGGCAACCCAAAAGGGCCUGGAGACGCCGUCGGGAGAUCCGGGAAGAGUUUUCUUUUCUGUAUGAGCGUUCGAGUUCCCUGGAAUCCUCUAGCAGGGAGAUAGGGUUUGGAACGCGAAGAGCACCGCAGUUGCGGCGGUGUCCGGAUCGUCCCCUCGGACCUUGAAAAUCCAGGUGAGGGCUACGUGGAGGUGUCGCGCCGGUUCGUACCCAUAUCCGCAGCAGUUCCAAGGAGAC
rnacentral:rRNA from 1 species